UACGGGGGGGGCAAGCGUUGUUCGGAAUUACUGGGCGUAAAGGGUUCGUAGGUGGCUCGCUAAGUCAGACGUGAAAUCCCUCAGCUUAACUGGGGAACUGCGUCUGAGACUGGCGAGCUUGAGUGCAGGAGAGGAACGCGGAAUUCCAGGUGUAGCGGUGAAAUGCGUAGAUAUCUGGAGGAACACCGGUGGCGAAGGCGGCGUUCUGGACUGCAACUGACACUGAAGAACGAAAGCCAGGGGAGCAAACGGG
rnacentral:rRNA from 1 species